rnacentral:rRNA from 1 species
AGAGUUUGAUCCUGGCUCAGAUUGAACGCUGGCGGCAGGCCUAACACAUGCAAGUCGAGCGGCAGCACGGGUACUUGUACCUGGUGGCGAGCGGCGGACGGGUGAGUAAUGCCUAGGAAUCUGCCUGGUAGUGGGGGAUAACGCUCGGAAACGGACGCUAAUACCGCAUACGUCCUACGGGAGAAAGCAGGGGACCUUCGGGCCUUGCGCUAUCAGAUGAGCCUAGGUCGGAUUAGCUAGUUGGUGAGGUAAUGGCUCACCAAGGCGACGAUCCGUAACUGGUCUGAGAGGAUGAUCAGUCACACUGGAACUGAGACACGGUCCAGACUCCUACGGGAGGCAGCAGUGGGGAAUAUUGGACAAUGGGCGAAAGCCUGAUCCAGCCAUGCCGCGUGUGUGAAAAAGGUCUUCGGAUUGUUAAACACUUUAAGUUGGGAGGAAGGGCAGUUACCUAAUACGUAUCUGUUUUGACGUUACCACAGAAUAAACACCGGCUAACUCUGUGCC